CCAACGGCUCUUUUAAGAGCCACCCACCCACUCGGGAAAGGAGCU
rfam:Alligator mississippiensis ScZkoYb_5, whole genome shotgun sequence.